rnacentral:rRNA from 1 species
UACGAAGGGGGCUAGCGUUGUUCGGAAUUACUGGGCGUAAAGCGAGUGUAGGUGGUUGUCCAAGUUGGAUGUGAAAGCCUUGAGCUCAACUCAAGAAAUGCAUUCAGGACUGGGCGGCUAGGGGACCGGAGAGGAUAGUGGAAUUCCCAGUGUAGUGGUGAAAUGCGUAGAUAUCGGGAGGAACACCAGUGGCGAAAGCGGCUACCUGGCCCAUUCUUGACGCUGAGGCGCGAAAGCUAGGGGAGCAAACGGGG